rnacentral:tRNA from 1 species
GUUGGUAGAACGUUGGUCUCCAAAACCAAAUGUCGAGGGUUCAAGUCCUUCUGCCCCUG